rnacentral:rRNA from 1 species
CGGAGGGUGCAAGCGUUAUCCGGAUUCACUGGGUUUAAAGGGUGCGUAGGCGGGUUGGUAAGUCCGUGGUGAAAUCCCCAAGCUUAACUUGGGAACUGCCGUGGAUACUAUCAAUCUUGAAUAUCGUGGAGGUAAGCGGAAUAUGUCAUGUAGCGGUGAAAUGCUUAGAUAUGACAUAGAACACCAAUUGCGUAGGCAGCUUACUACACGAUCAUUGACGCUGAGGCACGAAAGCGUGGGGAGCAAACAGGAUUAGAUACCCUGGUAGUCCACGCCCUAAACGAUGGAUACUCGACAUCAGCGAUACACUGUUGGUGUCUGAGCGAAAGCAUUAAGUAUCCACCUGGGAAGUACGAUCGCAAGAUUG